rnacentral:lncRNA from 1 species
CAGCCUCAGUGCUAGGGCUUUGUGUCUUACUCAAUCUGGUGUUACUCUGGAUGGGUAACUCUCCUUUCUUGGAAUCCUGCAUGCUGAAUCUCUUCAGCACCUUAUCCAAGUAGGUACUCUGACUAAGUCCAAUUAGUCUUUUACUCCGAUCUCUCAAGAUNUGCUGAAUCUCUUCAGCACCUUAUCCAAGUAGGUACUCUGACUAAGUCCAAUUAGUCUUUUACUCUGGUCUCUCAAGAUCCUUAUCCCUAGAAUAUAGGCAACUUCUCCUAGGUCCUUCAUAGAGAAACACUUCCCAAGCCAGGACUUAACUUCCUGCAGAUUUGGGAUGUCAUUUCCUAUGAGUAGUAUGUCAUCCACAUACAAUACCAAAAAUCUAACUAUACUCCCACUAGCCUUGACAUAUACACAAGAUU